rnacentral:lncRNA from 1 species
CUCUGUUGAGGUACCAAUAUUUUACAUCCUUAAAAAAAUAUAGCAUUUACUGGUGUUUCCGUUUUGGCUCAGCAGGUUAAGAACCCAACUCGUAUUCAUGAGGAUGUGGGUUUGAUCCCUGGCCUCACUCAGUAGGUUAAGUAUCCGGUUGCCCAUAAGCUGUGGCAUUCAGUCGCAGAGGUGGCUCAGACUCAGCGUUGCUGUGGCUGUGAUGUCGGCCAACAGCUACAUCUUUGAUUUGACCCCUAGCCUGGGGGCUCCCAAAUGCAGCAGCUAUGGCCCUAAAAGAAAAAAUGUAUAUAUAGUAUUUACUUAUGUGUAGAGAAUGCUUCACAAAUAGUAGGGGCUCAACCAGUGUUAACCAAAGAAACAUACAUUUGCUUUGAUUAAAAUCUGAUUUAAAGGGACCAUAGUACUUUGAUCUCAACAUUGGUGAUUCAGAUUUGUUAAAUUAAAAUUUGCUUUUUUUUUUUUCCCACUUAGGCUUCAUGAAGAUGGAGAUAUGGGAAAAAACAGUGAGCUGGCACCUCACUCACUUGUAAUGAUUCAAACAGAGAAUGUCAGAGGAAAAGAAAUACUGUUUCCACUCUCACUUGUAAGUGAAGAUACUAUUUCCAUGAAGGAACAAUUACGUGCGUGGAUAAACUAACACACAAGGCUUCUACGACAGUGUCAUAUAAACUGGAAAAUCAUUAUAACUAGAAAAAUUUCUUCAACAGAAGUGGUAAUAUUUCUAACUUUUUUUUCUCCUUUCUUUCAAAGUCCGCUGCCACACACAAUCUCUGAAAAAGAAAGACAAAACUCUUUCCCUUUAACACUGACAGGAAUAACAAAUAUUGCAUCUCUUCCUUGUCCUUUGACUUGUGUGACUUGUGCCCUCGUGUGUGACCACAAGGUGCCCUUUCUGUUGACAGUUACAAGCAAAGUAUAGAUGCCCUGUCGGACCGUAUGCACAGUUCAAAUAAGCCAGGAUGUUCAGUGUGAUUUGGGCAACAUAAGUGCAGCUGUAUAAAGCCCAGUGUAGCCAUCCUGCUGGUCACCUGGACAAAACAGACAAAAGGAAAGAGACUGAGCAUUCCUAAAUUUUCUACCAUAUUUCAUUCAUAAAUGAAAUGAAUUAUGUAAAAUGAAUUAGACUUCCUAACUAACUUCACUUUGUAUAUCAUUUCUUAGGAAUGUCUAAUAGACAGAGACAAAAAACAAACAAACAAACAAAAAAAACGUCUUAUUAGAUUGUUAAACCCAAUUUUCAGGGUCUAUAAGCUGUCGUUAGUCUUUUUUUUUUUUUUUCCAAGAACGAUAUUAGGCGUUAUUUUCUAUCCUAAUUUGGUAUUGAUGUUAAAAGUGUGUCUGACUGGCAUCUGUUACCACAGGUGUCAAUGGGUGGAAAUGCUGAUUCUUUAGCUUACCUUUGAUAUUCAUUAUUCCGGGACAAGUGGGAACCAAAUACUUCUGUAAUGCUCAGUGUCUACCCCGGACUGUUGCUCUCUAAAUGUAACCUCAAGAUAGAAUUAAGGCGGUAUAUUUUCUGAAUCGUUGGAGAAUCAUUCGGUCUUAACUUGAAAGCCCAAGAGUAAAGAAUGCCUGCUUACCUGCCAACAAGAGAAAGGAAAACAACUAACAGGAAGAAGAGGUAAAGGACCCGAACAAAGCUUUGUUAACCUUUAGUCUUUACAUUAGUGAUUUCUUCAGUUAGUUGGAUAACUAGGUGCCUGAAAAAGUAGUCCUGUAUAACUGCAGAUACAGAGCAGAAAUUCUUGUUCCCAUUAUUAAAUGGGAGUGAGAUGAAAGUUUAAUACUGGUACAAUGUAAUGCAUCAGGUAAAGUCUAUUCGAAGGGCUAAACUCCACACUGCAAGUAGAUGAACAGACAUUGUGUCGUAAGCAUAUUUCCAUUGCAUUGUAGAGUUUUUAUUAAUUUUUAUGACUGAAUGUAUUCUAUUACUAUUCUAUUUAACUAUUCAUACUGUUAAACUUUUAGAUUAUUUCUGAACUUUGGCUUUUAUAGACAGCAGUCUUAUUUAAACAGUAGAAAUGUGAGGAUUGCCUCAAAGUCCAACAAUAAAGAAAUGAGGAAAUAAACCACUGUGGGGAUGUACAAUAGAGGAUUAUACAUUAAAAUGAUUCUUGCCAACAAAUUUUAAUGAUUUAAAAAUGAAAAGGUAAGGCAAAAACUGAAUUACACGCACACAUUUAUAUAUUAAGAGCUCAAUCACAUACAAUUUUGUAUACAUCAUGAAAAUAUCAAGGAUAUUUUACCAAACAUUUAUAUGUGAUUAAUUUUGUAUGUGGAGUUAUGGAUGGUCACUAAUGAGUUUUCUUUUUAUUCUUUACUUUUUUAAAGUUUUCUCUAAAAUAUCUUAUUUUAGAAUCACGAAUAUCUAAACGCCUAAAGUCUCAAGCAAUCUGAUUUUUAAUCAAAAAAUAAACAAUUUAGGGAGUUCCCAUUGUGGCGCAGUGGUUAACAAAUCCCACUAGGAAUCAUGAGGUUGUGGGUUUGAUCCCUGCCCUUGCUCAAUGGGUUAAGGAUCCGAUGUUGCCGUGAGCUGUGGUGUAGGUUGCAGACGUGGCUUGGAUCCCGCGUUGCUGUGGCUCUGGCGUAGGCUGGUGGCUACAGCUCUGAUUAGACCCCUAGCCUGGGAAGCUCCAUAUGCCGCGGGGGCGGCCCAAGAAAUAGCAAAAAGACAAAAAUAAAUAAAUAAGUAAAUAAAUAAACAAUUUAUAGCUUUGAAAGAUAUUUCCACUUUUUCUCUGGACGACCUUUAUCAACUUAAACAGGCACCAAGAAUAUCAAUAAUGCUAACAUUGAGUCAAAAUAA